rnacentral:lncRNA from 1 species
UCUCAGUUUUGUAAAAUAUAUCACAUAUCAACAAUAACUUUGAAAGUUACCAUUACAUGUCAUUUUUAUUUUAAAAGUUGGAGUUUAAAAAACCAUUUUUGAAACUUUUUUUCAAGGAAGAUCUUUAAUAGAAAAACAUAGCCAGAAAAUGUCAAACACUUACAACAAAUAUGCACAUGUUUAAGAAAGAAGGAAAAGGGAGGCCGAGGCAGGUGGAUCACUGGAGGUCAGGAGUUUGAGACCAGCCUGACCAACAUGGUGAAACCCCGUCUCUACUAAAAAUACAAAAAUUAGCCAGGCCUGGUGGUGGGCACCUGUAAUCCCAGCUACCUGGGAGGCUAAAGCAGGAGAAUCACUAGAACCUGGUAGGGGGAGGUUGCAGUGAGCCGAGAUCGUGCCAUUGCACUCCAGCUUGGGGAAUAGGGAGAGAAUCCAUCUCAAAAAAAAAAAAAAAAGAAGGAAAUAUAUUUGUUUGCUUUUAAAGGUAUUUUACUGUUUUUAUUUAGUUACAGAUAGAAUACCUCUCGUUAUAUGAGCACUAUGCAAAAAAUGUAAAUUUAUCAGAUGUUAUAAGUUACAGAAUAAUCUAAGCUUAUUGCUUCAAACAAUCUGUCAAUAAGUUAGGUGUUUUUAAAUACGCUUUAACAGAGUUAUGUAUUAUCUAUUCAUCCAUCCAUUCAUCUGUUAACUUAUUUAUUCUUCCAUACUUGUAUUUACUUACCUUGGUACAAGGUAUCAAGUAUAAUGAGGCCAUAGGGAUUAAAUAUACAUUUAAAACCAUUUAGCUGUGUUGUGCUUUUUUUAUUUAUACACCAAAAAUGAAUGAUGAUUGGAGUUAUAUUAGUAAAAUUCAAGCUGGAUAGAUCUGUAAGCCAGGAUAUUUUCAGAAAAGCAUAGAUGGGUUCUCAUUAUAUAGCAUUAGAUAAUAUUAUAAUAGACAUUAACAUCAAUUUUAAUAGUUAUAAGAAUACAUGGUAAAAGAUAGUUUUUAAAAUGGUAUUUUUUCUUAAGGUCUACUUAAUAGACAGCUGCUGAAUUUUUAAAAAUCACCUGCAAAAAAAUGUAGUAGCUUUUUUCGUGUGGUAACUGAGACAGAUAAAAUGUAUUAUUAAAAACAAAAUGGCAGAAGCAGGAUUUUCAUAUAAGUUACAGCAGAAUAAAAAGCAUAAAAUUUGGCCAGACUUAUUUUUGAGAAGAUGGAUUUUCCGUUACCUGGCAGGCAUUAUCUUUCUCAAAGUGUGUGGCUAGGGUAAUGCACAGCCCACAAUACGAACCUAGCAAGAGAAUAAAGGCUAAAUGAGCCCAUAGCCACACAGGAAAUGUGCCGUUUCAAAUCUUGGCGGGGGAGAAAGCAAUGGCUCCAGAUAUCUUUCAACUCUUCCAGGAGUACGGUGCAUUGACUUGAUGGAAGACAUUUAUGACAUUCAAACUAUUGAGUUUAGAUCAUGUAAGAUUUUAAUAGUUGCUGCAGAAAUGGCAAGACGAUUAACAUAAAAAUCUACUAUUUUGUAAGCAAUUAUUUAGAUUGUUCAGAUUUCUGCUUAUACAAAUUAAUUCACUUAAUAUACAAAGCCAAAGUGUGGCCCAUAAAAAUUUGCAACAUAAACCAAAAUGGAAACUAAUAUUGACACUGAAAAUAUAAUUCUUUAUGAGAUCUGCUAGAGAGGAGAGAAGCUAGCUUGACACAAAUAUUUUCUUCUCUUAAAAAAGCAUAGAUACUGUGAAAAAAAAGUUAUGAAAUGAGACCAAAGUAAAAAUAUAUAACCACUUGAAUAAAAUUGGAGAAAAGUAGAGUUAACAUAGUAACUCCAUUUUACUAUUAACAUAGUGAAAUAAUCUCCAUUAAAAGCAGUAAGGAAGUAAGGAAUGGAAUUAACAUUACAAAUGUCAGGUCUGUGAUGUGAGAAGGGAAUUUAGGAUUUUUUUUUUUUUUUGACGGAGUCUCGCUCUGUCGCCCAGGCUGGAGUGUAAUGGCCGAUCUCAGCUCACUGCAACCUCCACCUCCCGGGUUCAAGAGAUUCUCUUGCCUCAGCCUCCUUAGUAGCUGGGAUUACAGGUGUACACCGCCAUGCCAGGCUAAUUUUUCUGUAUUUUUAGUAGAGACGGGACGGGGUUUCACCAUGGGUCAGGCUGGUCUCGAACUCCUGAUCUCGUGAUCCACCCUCCUCGGCCUCCCAAAGUGCUGGGAUUACAGGCGUGAGCCACUGCACCUGGCUUAGAAUAUUUUAAAUGUAAAGAAAAUAGAAAAAAUAAAAGAUGUUAUUAACAAAUAGUCAUGACACUGAACUGACAAGAUAUUGAUAAAUGUGGCUACUA